rnacentral:rRNA from 1 species
UACGUAGGGUGCAAGCGUUGUCCGGAAUUAUUGGGCGUAAAGAGCUCGUAGGCGGUCUGUCACGUCGGCUGUGAAAACCCGAGGCUCAACCUCGGGCCUGCAGUCGAUACGGGCAGACUAGAGUUCGGUAGGGGAGACUGGAAUUCCUGGUGUAGCGGUGAAAUGCGCAGAUAUCAGGAGGAACGCCGGUGGCGAAGGCGGGUCUCUGGGCCGAAACUGACGCUGAGGAGCGAAAGCGUGGGGAGCGAACAGG